rnacentral:rRNA from 1 species
AUUGAACGCUGGCGGCAGGCUUAACACAUGCAAGUCGAGCGAGCGGCGGACGGGUGAGUAAUGCCUGGGAAACUGCCUGAUGGAGGGGGAUAACUACUGGAAACGGUAGCUAAUACCGCUUACCAUCAGAUGUGCCCAGGUGGGAUUAGCUAGUUGGUGGGGUAAUGGCUCACCUAGGCGACGAUCCCUAGCUGGUCUGAGAGGAGGACCAGCCACGCAGGUACUGAGACACGGUCCAGACUCAUAAGGAGGGCAGCAGUGGGGAAUAUUGCACAAGGGGGGGAAGCCUGAUGCAGCCAUGCCGAGUGUGUGAAGAAGGCCUUCGGGUUGUAAAGCACUUUCAGCGAGGAGGCGUUACUCAAAGAAGAAGCACCGGCUAACUCCGUGCCAGCAGCCGCGGUAAUAC